AGAACCUUACCUGGGCUUGAUAUCCUAAGUACCUUUUAGAGAUAAGAGGGUGCUAUCUUGCUAGAACUUAGAGACAGGUGCUGCACUGCUGUCGUCAGCUCGUGUCGUGAGAUGUUGGGUUAAGUCCCGCAACGAGCUCAACCCACGUAUUUAGUUGCUAACGGUUCGGCCGAGCACUCUAAAUAGAAUGCCUUCGUAAGGAGGAGGAAGGUGGGUACGACGUCAAGUC
rnacentral:rRNA from 1 species